CUGCACAUUCGUGGAGCAAAUAUACUAAAAUUGAAAUGAUACAGAGAAGAUUCGCACGGCCCUAGCACAAGGAUAACACGCAAAUUCUGAAGCAUUCCAUAUUUUU